GAGGAUAUAGCUCAGUGGUAGAGCACAUGCUUAACAUGCACAAAGUCCUGGGUUCAAUCCUCAGUAUCUCCA
rnacentral:tRNA from 1 species